rnacentral:piRNA from 1 species
UGACAUGGUGCACCAACCCUCAGGGCUGC